GACGAACGCUGGCGGCGUGGAUUAGGCAUGCAAGUCGAACGGUAUCAUCCUUUCGGGGAUGAGAGAGUGGCGAACGGGUGAGUAACACGCAGGUGAUCCACCCUCAAGACGGGGACAACCCAGGGAAACUUGGGCUAAUACCGGAUGUGAGCUAUCGCGAGAUAGUUUGAAAGGUGGCUUCGGCUGCCGCUUGAGGAUGAGCCUGCGUCCUAUUAGCUAGUUGGUGAGGUAACGGCUCACCGAGGCAGUGAUAGGUAGGCGGCCUUAACGGGUGGUCGCCCAUACUGGGAUUGAGAUACGGCCCAGACUCCUACGGGAGGCAGCAGUCGAGAAUAGUCUACAAUGGUCGAAAGACUGAUAGUGCGACGCCGCGUGAACGAAGAAGCCCUUCGGGUGUAAAGUUCUUUUAUAUGUGAGCAGUGACAUCUAUAUUAAUAGUAAUGGUGGAGAGAUAUUAGCAUAUGAAUAAGCAACGGCUAACUCCGUG
rnacentral:rRNA from 1 species